rnacentral:tRNA from 14 species
CAUAGUCGAGUUGGUAAAAGGGGUUCGAACCCUUGAUCGAGAGAUCGCAGGUUCGAAUCCCG